rnacentral:lncRNA from 10 species
ACAUCUCCUCCUUCUCACUCAACUCAGACCUCUCAGGAUAACUUGGUGAAAUGACUCCCUCUCUCAGCCUCAGUGAGCCCACCUGUAACAGAGAUAAGGGACUAGACCAGAAAACCUCAAUGACCUCUCUGACCUCAUCUCCUGCCUGUGUCCUCCUCGCUCCCUCUGCUCCAGCCAAGCAUGCGUCCUUCCUGUUCCUGGGCCGAGCUUGCUCCUGCCUCAAGGCCUUCACGUGGGCUGUGCCUCUGCUGGAACUCGCUGGCCCCUCAGCUGCAGCAUUGACUUCCAAAGACUCCUGGCACAUGAGGAAGAAACCCAGAAGAGGAGAGCAAAGGAGUCAGGAAUGGCUUUUACUCAGUUGACAUUCAGGGACGUGGCCAUCGAAUUCUCUCAAGAUGAGUGGAAAUGCCUGAACUCUACACAGAGGACUUUAUACAGGGAUGUGAUGUUGGAGAACUACAGGAACCUGGUCUCCCUGGAUCCAUCUGUGAUAGCCUCUCUUCUUAUCCAAGCAAAGGGCUGAGAUUCUUGAAAAGCCACAGCACAUCAUGUUCCAU